rnacentral:tRNA from 1 species
UCCCAGGUGCCUCAGUGAUAAAAGAAUCUGCCUGCGAUGCAGGAGACACAGAUUCAAUUCCUGGACUGGGAA